AGGAGCGACCGACGAUAUGACGAGGCUUGAAUUCACCCCCGCAUGUCCGGACGCUCCUGGCGUCCUUAGCUCGGAUUUUGGCCAACCGCGUGCGGUAACACACGGGAGACCAGCUUCCGUCCCAUAUCCUCGAGAGGAUGGGGGGACGACGAUUUGUGACACCCAGGCAGACGUGCCCUCGGCCAGAAGGCUUGGGGCGCAACUUGCGUUCAAAGACUCAAUGGUUCACGGGAUUCUGCAAUUCACACCAAGUAUCCCAUUUCGCUACUUUCUUCAUCAAUGCGAGAGCCGAGAUAUCCGUUGCCGAGAGUCGUUUUAGACUUUAUAUUGCAACUCAGCGUCCGCGUAAACCCCGUCUCCGGGUUAACAAACGCAGGCUGUUUAGUUGCAUGUUCCUUGACACUUUUCSUGGCGGGGUUUUGUGAUAUCCGGAAGCUAGGCGCACUACCCAGCCGCGAUUAAAAAUCUUGACGGGGAACAUGCGCAUAACCACG
rnacentral:misc_RNA from 1 species